UCUCAGGUCCAGCAGACAAGAUCUGCAUAGGUUGGCUGAAAAGUUGACACCGUAUCCAUAAAUGUAUGACCGUAACAUGGACCUCAGAUUUGCCAUGAGGAUUGUGUGGGGCAGAACAUGUGAGGAGCCUCAGUGCUUAUCAAAAGAAAUGUGUGUGUAGAGAGUGAGACUUCCUCUGACACCUCAACAGUGAGACUGUGAGUCUGAGGAGACUAUGUCUGGAGACAAGCUCCUGUCAGUUCUGAGACUCAAGCAGUCCUCGCGGGCAUGAGGGAAAUAUUUGGAAACACUGUUGCUCCCCAGGGAAUUCUACACUGAACUGGGCUGAUGCUGCCCACUUGCCUCUGCACUCUGAUGAGGUGCUUCCACCAACAUCCGUUCACCAACCUGAGAAUAAAUGGCACUCCCCUGUGGAAUAUGUACCCAAAACGCUCAGCGGCAGAUACGCACGAACAUGAAAGCACCUCCAUUCCAAGGAGGACAGGGUGGGGCUGGAGCAAAGCAGAAGAGCUGGGGACAAUGCCAGGGCCUGUUCAGUUUUUCACAGCGGUGGUAAGAGAAGCUUCAAAGUUAAAAGUUAAGGCAAAAUAGUGAUUUGCAGAGAUCUGUGAGCCCUAAAUGUCUUCCUGUCACCUCUGACACUCACAGAAUUAAUUUCUGUCCCUUGGAGAAACUGUUAGCUGUGAGUGACCUACUUUCUAACAUGAAAGGUUUCACUGAGGGGUCUCCCGUCACUAGAGGCUUGAAGACAAGUUAUUCCUAACUCUUGAACAGCUCUACUGUGGGAGAGGACAUAGCUGCUGCAACAGAAAGAUCUCUCCCAGCAUCAUGACACAGAAUGUUCAGGAAUGAUGAAGCGCUCUGUAUCUCUUGUCAGUUGAUAGCCUUGAGUGUAAGUGUGCAACUGAGUAUUUGAAGCACAUUUCUUAGCCUGACUGGGGAGCUGAAUUUUGAAUAUUAAAUUACAAUUAAUUCAGACUCAUCGUAUGUGGCUAGUGGCUCCAGAUACAUAUGAAUAUGUUUCAACUCACACCAUUAAAGAGAAAAGGAAAGGAAAAAUUGCUGUGUAGGUAUUUAAUGUAAUCUUUCUAAAAACACACCCAAAGAAAAACAGUACAUUUUCAAGUGUGGGUAUAAAUGCUUUUGCAUGCAUCAAAAAUGGGCUGAGAUUAGACCCAGUAGACCAAUAGAGUAAUUACUUCUGUGGAAGAGAAGGGAAGGAAACAUCUCUAGGGAGGCCUUUUUGCUUUAUUGGCUUUCUUUGAAUUUUUCAAUGGAGCUGUAUACUUGUAUCAUUUGCAUAAUGCACUGCAAUAAAAAGAAGCAAAAUUAAACGUUUUCUUAGCUAAA